rnacentral:lncRNA from 1 species
GGUAAAGUAUGUAAUCAAAAUUUUUAAUAGUGUAUCGAUUUAUUAUCAUUAUAUUUUGGAUAUUAUUGCAUGCUCUAACUAUAACAAACAUCUUAUUUAGUUAUUUGAUGUAUUUAUUUUGUGGCAAGAAAUGGCUAUAUCGACUCGAAAUACUGCUAGAAGAAGAAGAUACAAGAAGAAAAAAUAGAAGAGCAAGGAGGUAACAUAUU